UAUAUAUAUAUAUAUAGACACAAACUGCUCAAUGAAAAUUGUAUGAGAAUAGUCACAAAAAAAAAAAUUCUAAUUUCACAUGGUAUUUUGUCGAUUCCCGUAUUUUUGGAAAAAACUUGGGUUUUCUCGUUCAUCCCUUGAAUUCUAACGUGAAUUUAGAAAUUUCCCAAUCACGUGAAUUAUGUGCCUUUUACAUCUGUUACCUAUUUUAAAAAUCAUGAUAGUUCUAUAUUAUUGGUCUGAUUUUUUGCUUGAAGCAAUUUAUCAUAGUUUAAUGUAAUUUUUUCUUUAAUUAAAAUUUUUUGAAGAAGAUUAAAGUCUUAAAUGACAGUACAAGAAAUACAUUCUUGUGUUGUCUGCCAUUUACCAUGUGACUUGCGAAGCAUAUAAAUAUUGUGAGAGAUGCAAGAUUAUGAUGAUAUAUAUAUUGAGAUAUAGCAUUUCCAUGAUCUUGUCGUAUUUGUUGAAGUUUGGGCCACUAUAAUUUGAGUUCCUUGUGAACAUGCUGUGCUGUCUGUUCAAAUAUGAAAAUCGAGGUGAUCUGUCACAUUUAAAAAAAAAUAAAAAAAUUCAGUUUCUGUGGGAAACCGGUCAAAGGUAGGCAGGGGCUUCUACCGUAAAUAAUCAAUCUUUAAACCCCUGUUUGCAAUUAUCAGUUGGGGGGUCAUAUUGUAAUUACUUAAAUAAGGACCUGCCAUGCAAUUUUUAAUAUGAAGGACCUGAUCUUAAUUUGUAUUUAGUAUUAAAAUGGAAUUUUCAAUAAGGGGCUCUUAAAUUUGAAAUUCUAAACUUUUGACCCUAAAAUUUUAUUUUUGACCAAAUUAAAACUUUAAUUGAUAAUUGACCUGAUUAAAAU
rnacentral:lncRNA from 1 species